ACCAGGCUGUGUUCAGUGUUUUUGUAGUGACUCCGCCCUCAACGAUGGCAGUUGGCUGUCUGCAGCACAGCUGACGCCACAGCAGCAAGUCUUAAGAGGGUUAAAGAUGUUCAGGUGCAUUGUGGGAAGUGUAGGCUGCUCACUCUGUGAUGGUUGCAGGACCAGAAGAUGUUGGAGACGGCGCACAGGCUCAUGUACCCGUCUGCAGAGGGAGGGGGGGCUGCUGCUGCCAUGGAGGCGGAGUCGACCUCAGGAAGACACCUGAGGAAACGAGGACGAGAAGGAGAUGGCGAGGAGCAACAUCCUGCCAAACGGAGCCAAGGCCCGCCCUCUUCCUCUGUGUAGUCACAUGUCUCUGCUGAUGAACCUGGUGUAAAUAAAGUUUUCUAAUAAAGAUUUUUACAUUUUU